rnacentral:rRNA from 1 species
CCUACGGGUGGCAGCAGUGAGGAAUAUUGGUCAAUGGACGAGAGUCUGAACCAGCCAAGUAGCGUGAAGGAUGACUGCCCUAUGGGUUGUAAACUUCUUUUAUAUGGGAAUAAAAUGUUCCACGUGUGGGAUUUUGUAUGUACCAUAUGAAUAAGGAUCGGCUAACUCCGUGCCAGCAGCCGCGGUAAUACGGAGGAUCCGAGCAUUAUCCGGAUUUAUUGGGUUUAAAGGGAGCGUAGGUGGAUUGUUAAGUCAGUUGUGAAAGUUUGCGGCUCAACCGUAAAAUUGCAGUUGAAACUGGCAGUCUUGAGUACAGUAGAGGUUGGCGGAAUUCGUGGUGUAGCGGUGAAAUGCUUAGAUAUCACGAAGAACUUCGAUUGCGAAGGCAGUUCACUGGACUGCAACUGACACUGAGGCUCGAAAGUGUGGGUAUCAAACAGGAUUAGAUACCCUGGUAGUC